rnacentral:rRNA from 1 species
CACAGCAGUAGCAAUACUGUGGGUGGCGAGUGGCGGACGGGUGAGGAAUACAUCGGAAUCUACCUUGUCGUGGGGGAUAACGUAGGGAAACUUACGCUAAUACCGCAUACGAACUAUGGUUGAAAGCGGCGGACCGCAAGGCGUCGCGCGAUUGGAUGAGCCGAUGUCCGAUUAGCUAGUUGGCGGGGUAAAGGCCCACCAAGGCGACGAUCGGUAGCUGGUCUGAGAGGAUGAUCAGCCACACUGGAACUGAGACACGGUCCAGACUCCUAUGGGAGGCAGCAGUGGGGAAUAUUGGACAAUGGGGGCAACCCUGAUCCAGCCAUGCCGCGUGUGUGAAGAAGGCCUUCGGG